GAUGAACGCUGGCGGCGUGCCUAAUACAUGCAAGUCGAGCGAACAGAUGAGGAGCUUGCUCCUCUGACGUUAGCGGCGGACGGGUGAGUAACACGUGGAUAACCUACCUAUAAGACUGGGAUAACUUCGGGAAACCGGAGCUAAUACCGGAUAAUAUAUUGAACCGCAUGGUUCAAUAGUGAAAGACGGUUUUGCUGUCACUUAUAGAUGGAUCCGCGCCGCAUUAGCUAGUUGGUAAGGUAACGGCUUACCAAGGCAACGAUGCGUAGCCGACCUGAGAGGGUGAUCGGCCACACUGGAACUGAGACACGGUCCAGACUACUACGGGAGGCAGCAGUAGGGAAUCUUCCGCAAAGGGCGAAAGCAUGACGGAGCAACGCCGCGUGAGUGAUGAAGGUCUUCGGAUCGUAAAACUCUGUUAUUAGGGAAGAACAAAUGUGUAAGUAACUAUGCACGUCUUGACGGUACCUAAUCAGAAAGCCACGGCUAACUACGUG
rnacentral:rRNA from 1 species